rnacentral:rRNA from 1 species
CAACGGAGGAAGUGGGGAUGACGUCAAGUCAUCAUGGCUCUUACGCCCAGGGCCGCACACGUGCUACAAUGGCCGGCACAAUGGGCUGCAAUACCGUGAGGUGGAGCCAAUCCCAAAAAACCGGUCUCAGUUCGGAUUGAAGUCUGCAACUCGACUUCAUGAAGCCGGAAUUGCUAGUAAUCGCGGAUCAGCACGCCGCGGUGAAUACGUUCCCGGGUCUU